GUCUGUCGUUUAACACUUUAUAGUAGGGUAAAUCACAUGGAGAAUUGCGUUGCUUUUGUAUGCCAUUAUACUCUUUCCAUUCUGUUUUUGCUUACCAGGUCCUAUGCUAGAAAGAAAGGAAGAAAUAAUGUUACAGUGGAUGAUCUUAUUCAUGUUAUCACACCAAAAGGAAGAGCUUCAGUACCGGACUCUGUGAAGGCUGAGCUAUUACAACGCAUUCGUGCAUUCCUCACAUCAGCUGCCCUUUAAUACGAUGUUAUCAGUUCAUACUUGGUAGGAAUAUCUGAUCAAAUUUUUAAUUUGUUGUCUUGGAUUAAGCCUUGGUUUUUCUUAGUACUUUUAUUUUUUCAACAAUGCUUUUCAAAUCUGUUGAAGGGAUCAGUGUGGACCUUAACCUCACCACAUAUUAUAAUCUUAUAAAAGUCCCAUUGCCGAUUAUUUAGGGGAACCGAAUUUUAUCUGUAUAGAAUUCAGAACAUCUCCAUUGCAUCUGUUGCUGUGCAGUAGCAGGAAGAUCAUCUUUUAUGUAUAAUGUGAAGACUUUGAAUUUAUAAACAUAAAAUUUUACAUCUUUUGCA